GAUGAACGCUGGCGGCGUGCCUAAUACAUGCAAGUCGAGCGAACGGACGAGAAGCUUGCUUCUCGGAUGUUAGCGGCGGACGGGUGAGUAACACGUGGAUAACCUACCUAUAAGACUGGGAUAACUUCGGGAAACCGGAGCUAAUACCGGAUAAUAUUUUGAACCGCAUGGUUCAAAAGUGAAAGACGGUCUUGCUGCCACUUAUAGAUGGAUCCGCGCUGCAUUAGCUAGUUGGUAAGGUAACGGCUUACCAAGGCAACGAUGCAUAGCCGACCUGAGAGGGUGAUCGGCCACACUGGAACUGAGACACGGUCCAGACUCCUACGGGAGGCAGCAGUAGGGAAUCUUCCGCAAUGGGCGGAAGCCUGACGGAGCAACGCCGCGUGAGUGAUGAAGGUCUUCGGAUCGUAAAACGCUGUUAUUAGGGAAGAACAUAUGUGUAAGUAACUGUGCACAUCUUGACGGUACCUAAUCAGAAAGCCACGGCUAACUACGUG
rnacentral:rRNA from 1 species